GGACCUCUUGGUGCUUAGAACAGACCAUGUUCUCACACUGACUGUAUAUAGAGAGAAGACAAGGUAGACUUACCUCAUGUGCAUCCCAGCCCGGGCCCCAUGCCUGGUCUGAAUCAUGAAUGGGGGAACGUGG
ensembl:snoRNA